rnacentral:rRNA from 1 species
UACGGAGGAUGCAAGCGUUAUCCGGAUUUAUUGGGUUUAAAGGGUGCGUAGGCGGAUAAAUAAGUCAGUGGUGAAAGCCUGCAGCUUAACUGUAGAAUUGCCAUUGAUACUGUUUGUCUUGAGCACAGUUGAGGUGGGCGGAAUAUGGCAUGUAGCGGUGAAAUGCUUAGAUAUGCCAUAGAACACCGAUUGCGAAGGCAGCUCACUAAACUGUCACUGACGCUGAGGCACGAAAGCGUGGGUAGCAAACAGG